rnacentral:rRNA from 1 species
UACGAGAGGCCAACAGUUAUUCGGAUUACUGGGCUUAAAGAGUCGUAGCGGUCCGUCAAGUGGGUGUGAAGCCUACGGCUCAACCGAGGAAUUGCGCUCCAAACUGUCGGGCAUCGAGGGAGAAUAGAGGUGAGCGGAACUGAUGGUGGAGCGGUGAAAUGCGUUGAUAGUCAUCAGGAACACCAGAGGCGAAAGGCGGCUCACUGGGUCGUCUUCUGACGCUGAGGAACGAAAGCUA